rnacentral:rRNA from 1 species
CGGACGGGUGAGUAACGCGUAGGAAUCUACCUGGUAGUGGGGGACAACAUGUGGAAACGCAUGCUAAUACCGCAUACGACCUAAGGGUGAAAGUGGGGGACCUUCGGGCCUCACGCUACCAGAUGAGCCUGCGUAAGAUUAGCUAGUUGGUGGGGUAAAGGCUCACCAAGGCGACGAUCUUUAGCUGGUCUGAGAGGAUGAUCAGCCACACUGGGACUGAGACACGGCCCAG